CCAGCAGCUGCGGUAAUUCCAGCUCCAAUAGCGUAUAUUAAAGUUGUUGCAGUUAAAAAGCUCGUAGUUGGAUUUUGGGCUCGGCGGAGCCCGGUCUGCCUAAACAAGGUGUGUACUGGUUCCGCCGAGUCUUCCUUCCGAGACCACGUUCUGCUCUUAACUGAGUGGAGCGCUGGUGUCGGAACGUUUACUUUGAAAAAAUUAGAGUGUUCAAAGCAGGCCAUUUGCGCCUUGAAUACAUUAGCAUGGGAUAAUGGAAUAGGACCCCGCUCCUGUUUCGUUGGCUUCGGGGCGCGGGGUAAUGAUUAAUAGAGAUAGUUGGGGGUAUUCAUAUUUAAUUGUCAGAGGUG
rnacentral:rRNA from 1 species